rnacentral:rRNA from 1 species
UACGAAGGGGGCUAGCGUUGCUCGGAAUUACUGGGCGUAAAGCGCACGUAGGCGGUCUUUUAAGUCGGGGGUGAAAUCCUGGAGCUCAACUCCAGAACUGCCUUCGAUACUGGAAGACUUGAGUCAGGGAGAGGUGAGUGGAACUGCGAGUGUAGAGGUGAAAUUCGUAGAUAUUCGCAAGAACACCAGUGGCGAAGGCGGCUCACUGGCCCGGUACUGACGCUGAGGUGCGAAAGCGUGGGGAGCAAACAGG